AAAGGGACAAAGUGUCCGCAGGUACUCCGUCUCGAAGUGGGCGAACAGUAUCUACAGGUUUUGCUCUCCCACUACAAGGAGGCACGGAGCGGACUCGGAGAGCCUCGAGCUUGAAAGUUUAGUUGAAAAACUUAACAAGCAUAACACAGUCUUCAAAUUGCCACUUAACACCACGCACAUCGAGUAUUUUGGACACGUAUGGCCAUAACCCUCAAAUAGUACCGUUUCAGCAGUUGCAUCAUGCUUUGCAACAAUUAUAGACAAUUCUAGGGGUGGCAGACGGCCAUAAUGACUUCAACGUUUACAAGUCGGACAAACAAUGGCCAACAACCGUAAUGCAAGCCAACUGCAUCAGUAACUCCACAACCAGACACUACUAACAUUUUGUCUCAUCC